UACGUAGGGUGCGAGCGUUGUCCGGAAUUAUUGGGCGUAAAGGGCUCGUAGGCGGUUUGUCGCGUCGGGAGUGAAAACCAGGUGCUUAACACCUGGCUUGCUUUCGAUACGGGCAGACUAGAGGUAUUCAGGGGAGAACGGAAUUCCUGGUGUAGCGGUGAAAUGCGCAGAUAUCAGGAGGAACACCGGUGGCGAAGGCGGUUCUCUGGGAAACAACUGACGCUGAGGAACGAAAGCGUGGGUAGCAAACAGG
rnacentral:rRNA from 1 species